GACGAACGCUGGCGGCGUGCUUAACACAUGCAAGUCGAACGAAGAGCGAUGGAAGCUUGCUUCUAUCAAUCUUAGUGGCGAACGGGUGAGUAACGCGUAAUCAACCUGCCCUUCAGAGGGGGACAACAGUUGGAAACGACUGCUAAUACCGCAUACGAUCUAAUCUCGGCAUCGAGGAUAGAUGAAAGGCGGCCUCUACAUGUAAGCUAUCACUGAAGGAGGGGAUUGCGUCUGAUUAACUAGUUGGAGGGGUAACGGCCCACCAAGGCGAUGAUCAGUAGCCGGACUGAGAGGAUGAACGGCCACAUUGGGACUGAGACACGGCCCAGCAUCCUACGGGAGGCAGCAGUGGGGAAUCUUCCGCAAUGGACGAAAGUCUGACGGAGCAACGCCGCGUGAGUGAUGACGGCCUUCGGGUUGUAAAGCUCUGUUAAUCGGGACGAAAGGCCUUCUUGCGAAUAGUGAGAAGGAUUGACGGUACCGGAAGAGAAAGCCACGGCUAACUACGUG
rnacentral:rRNA from 1 species